rnacentral:rRNA from 1 species
GAUGAACGCUGGCGGCGUGCUUAACACAUGCAAGUCGAGCGAAGCGAUUUUAAGGAAGCCUUCGGGUGGAAUUAAAAUUGACUUAGCGGCGGACGGGUGAGUAACGCGUGGGUAACCUGCCUCAUACAGGGGGAUAACAGUUAGAAAUGACUGCUAAUACCGCAUAAGCGCACAGUGCUGCAUAGCACAGUGUGAAAAACUCCGGUGGUAUGAGAUGGACCCGCGUCUGAUUAGGUAGUUGGUGAGGUAACGGCCCACCAAGCCGACGAUCAGUAGCCGGCCUGAGAGGGUGACCGGCCACAUUGGGACUGAGACACGGCCCAAACUCCUACGGGAGGCAGCAGUGGGGAAUAUUGGACAAUGGGGGAAACCCUGAUCCAGCGACGCCGCGUGACUGAAGAAGUAUUUCGGUAUGUAAAGGUCUAUCAGCAGGGAAGAAAAUGACGGUACCUGACUAAGAAGCCCCGGCUAACUACGUGCCAGCCGCCGCAGUAA